AAUGCGCUCCCACGCUCUCAUCCAACAUCUGAGCGUAUCUUAUGUACAAAGUCUUAGCCGUUUCAAAUUCUUGGGAGUCAAUGGAAUUUAUGUCAAAUAUUAUUAAUGGAGUCGAAUUUGAAUGAAAUCUUCUUUAAGAAAGCUAAUAACUCACACACAGACGUUUCUUUUCAUAAGCUCAAAACUCAAACGCAUCUAGAAAUCUGUCCACAUGCAUCGAAGAAGAACAGCUAUUGAUUCACUAAUGGCGUAACUACAUCAUCCAUAUGUAUCGGUUUCCUCUCGAUCCAUUCAAUGGAGAUGGAAAUCCACCCUUAAAUAUAAGUUAGAGAAACUCAAUUCCGAUACAUGGACAGUUGAUAUUUCGUGAAUCAGAUGUGUUAUUCCACCACGUUUGCAAUGCACUUACUCACCUUCAGUUUGGGUUUGAGUUGGCAGCAGGGUUCUACUAAGAAAAUUAGAACUACUAAAAGAAAAGUUGACGAUCAGUAUGGAUUCUAAAUGAUGUUGGACGAGUGUUAUUGCGCGUUGGAUGGGUUUUGAUGUGCCAACCUGAGAUACUAACUAAUAAACAAAAAAAUAUGUUCUCAGAGUUACCAAAAUAGAACUGCAUCUAUUGAUUUUGUGGAUGAAGCUGUUCGAAAUGAGCAGAUGCAUGUAGGAGCUGUUGAGUUUACUGAACUUGGAAUCGGGCCGGAUUCACAUCUUAUGGCCGUAGAAUUAGGUCCACACUUUCAAACGGAUAUUGUUCGUGGUGUAGAAGGCUACAUCGCUACAGCGUAUAAACAAAUUGAGAGAGGUGCAGAGUUUUCAGAAUAUAUAAAGAGAGUUAUGGUGCUAAAAUUCAUUAUUGGAAGCUGCACUUAAUAGACUACCUCGACUCAGAUGGGAAAAAGGGUGGGAAUACCCUGAAACCCCGUGGCACACAGGUCUGUUUGAGUUGGGGAAAAAAAAGAGAUUAAGCCAUAUACUUUGUUAUGGAAAUCUGUCGCUUCACGAGGAAAUGAAUUUGGUGUUGCACCGAAAGAAUGAGUUGGCAUUUGUCCAUGAAAUGGGGGUAGAGAAGAAUCAUGGUUAUGAGCUGAAUAGGCUUAAGAUCAGGAAUCCGUUCGUCGUGCCUGAAAUGGUCAUGAGAUGGAGAAAAUAAGCUCUCUGUCAGAUGCCAGAGAAUUUAGCGGGAGAAAACAGUGUGAAGCGGAUACAAGGCUGACUUUGAUGAUAAUUGAAUGAUAUACGACCAUACUUUAGCUGCUACCGUAUCAUGCAAAUUAACGUAUAGUAUACAAGCAUCUGAUUGAGGUAAACUCCGAUCAUUAGACGUAUGUCUAAAACUAUGUGAGUUGAAGUAAGUUAUGAUUAUUGCUAACCUCCCAAUGCCAAAGAAGGUACCCCAAUUAAGGUGACAAAAAAUAUUGAGCUUGCAUGUAUACUAACCGAAUAUCCAUUGUAUAUAAAGUAUCUUCUAGAAUUUCAUUGUAUAUAAAGUAUCUUCUAGAAUUUCAUUUGCUUUAAAAGCAACGUCAAGGAUUAUCGAGGAAGCAAUUCAAGCAUCCCGAAUGGUUAUCUGCUUAUCUAUGGGAAUCAAAAUCUGUAAUUGGCCUGUAGGUAAUGUUAUUGAUAUGUUUUGUUUGCAUCUUCCCAGCAAGUGUUUACACCACUCGGUGUCAUGUAUUUGUUGACAUAAAGAAUGAUUUUUAUUUAUCAAAGAUAGAUUCCUUGCUACAGUAGUUACUCAUCAUUUUUUUCCUUUGACCCAAAAGAAGUAAUUUCUUAAUUUUAAUGAACGAUUUUUUUCUUAAUUUCUAAUGAAUGAAUUUUUAUUUUCUUAAUUUAUAAUGAAUGAUUUCUUAAUGAAUGGUCUUCCAAAUUGUAGGAUGAAAAGAGGAGGCGAAUCCCUUUGUGGUUUCGUGGAUGAAGAAUGAAGAGCGGGCUAUGAUACUAGCUGUGGUGUCGCUGUAAGCCGUACAGAAUAAUCCCUUAAUGUUUCAUUUGGCUAGAUGUUUUUCCUUUUCUGCAAUUUACCUACUUUGGUGUCCAGUUAUAGUGUAACCAGACACACACACACAAAUAUCGUCCCACUGAAGUUUUAAAAUCUAUGUGCGGUAAUAUUUCAGAAAUGGGUCAUUCCAUUUGUUUCAGUUCAGAUGUUAAAUUUGUUUUUUUGUUUGUCUCUUAUGCAUUUACCUACCUUGAUUUCCAGUUAUAAAGUAACAGCAAGGACUCCCGUUGUUUCAGUUUACUAACAUGUGGAUGAACUUCUUUUUGUAAAAUUUAUCAUCCUAAACUUUUUUUUGCGAGAUCUGUCAGAACCAUCGAGAAAGGAAUUUUAUUAAGAGGAGAAAGAGGAGUUGCAACAAUUCCACCAGGAGUGGAAGUUUAAACAAAAACUACACAAAGAUGGAAAGCCAAUUGUUGUGGAUUGUGUUCGCAAAGUUUAAAUGGACACGUCUGCCUGCUGCUGCUGCCCAAGAUAAAACCAAAGAACGCACUUCCAGACCCAAGUCAUCAUCUGUUUUAAACGUAUGUUUCUGCUGAAAAAUUCGAUUGUUGCGCUCAGCCCAUAAAGUUUGCACCACCGCCUCAGGGAUCAGUUCCCAGAUGAAGUUUCCUAUAGCACUGAAGUGACCAUGGUACCAUUCUUGUGCAUAUCACUGAAGUUUGAACGCAUAUCAACAUUGACAGGGAUCCGGUCAAGGUACAUAUCAACAUUGAAAUAGCAAGUGAUCCGGUGAAGGUACAUAUCAACAUUGACAGGGACUUUGUCUACGCCCUGAAUGUCCGAAAUUAUUCUUCCUCAAGGAAACAAAAUUUUAUAAACAGGCCAACGUUGUUUAAGGUUCUACUCUAUGAUUAUGGCAUGUGAUCUCUUCAUGAUGCAGCAAGAUUUGAGAAUGUUUUGGCAGUAGCAAUUAGCAACCAUCUAAAUCAUCUUCCGGUUUUGCACAGUGGUGUUGAAUCAACAAGUCUUUAUAAUUACUUGGUUCAUAUUUGCAGAUUUUUUGUGUAAGUUGAUCAAUGAGCUUUUUCGUGUUUUAUAGAUCGAUGUCACUACUAUUGGGGGAGCACAUUUACAACUUUGGGUAUUCAAUAGUUUUUAUACAUUUUUCAUAGUGAUACCCAUGGAUAUGACCUUUUUAAGUUUUAGUAAUUGCAAUUGCUUAUAUUGUAUCACUUUUAUUA